UUUCCGAACCGAUUAAAACCCUUCGCUCGCCGGAAAAAGGUGAGGGACGAAAAUGAAAGAACUCAGAGAGAAGGCGGAGGAGAUCCCAAGAGCCACCGCAGACGGCGGCAUGGUGGUGGUGGAGCUGCCGCUGGGGGAGGCGGCGGCGACAUUCGAUCUGGUGAAGGCAGUUUGUAGCCAUGGUUUGUUCAUGACGGCCCCCAAUCACUGGGACCCUCUCUCCAAAACCCUAGAACGCCCACUGCGCCUCCAUUCUGAUGGUGAAUCUGGUAAUGGCGACUCUAUUCCUUCGUCAUCACCUACUUCUCUUCUCGUCCGCAUCUCUCACCCCUCCUAUUCUCCUCAAUCUCUCCAUCUCCAUGUCUUUGGCACCGUCUUUCUCUCUCCUCAGCACCAAAAAUCGUUACUGGAUCAAGUGAGGAGAAUGCUGAGAUUGUCGGAGGGGGAAGAGAGGAGAGUGAAGGAGUUUCAGAAGAUGCAUGGAGAAGCCAAAGAGAGGGGUUUUGGGAGAGUGUUUAGGUCGCCUACAUUGUUCGAGGACAUGGUCAAGAGUGUACUCCUCUGCAACUGCCAGUGGUCCAGGACCCUGAGCAUGGCUAGAGCACUUUGUGAGCUUCAGUUGGAACUGCAGUGCCCAUCAUUCAGUGCAUUUGUUCCCAAUGUUGAAAAUGGUACAAAAACUCCAAAAGCUGAGACUGAGCAUUUAGUUCCAAAGACACCUAUAGGAAAAGAACCAAAGAGGAAGCUUCGAGCAAAAAAAGGUUCCAAAAAUUUAGCCAUCAGAUUUUUGAAGACCCAAACACAAAUAGAAGCAGAAAAUACCACGAGGACAGAUUCUGUUGAAAUGUCAGAUUGCUUACAAGGGACAAAGAAACUAUGCCCAAGCAUCCUCUUGUCAAAUGGAGAAAAAGACUUGCAUGAAUGCUACAACUUUUCUCAGACUUCAACUGAAAUUAGUAAUGCUGAUUUAACUGAAGUUUCUAAAGCUGAUUCACGUCUGUUUUCUGAUCUUCAGUCUUCAGAAGUGAUAGAACUUUCCAGCCACAAUAGGAUUGGAAAUUUUCCUAGCCCAAGAGAACUAGCAACCCUUAAUGAAAAGUUUCUGGAAAAGCGCUGUAAUCUUGGCUAUAGAGCAAGUCGCAUAAUAAAGCUUGCUCAGAGUAUUGUUGAAGGCAGAAUCCAACUUAGACAACUUGAAGAAGCUUGUAGUGAACCAAGCUUAUCAAACUACAGCAAGGCAGUUGAGCAACUGAACGAAAUUUAUGGAUUUGGCCCUUUUACAUGUGCCAAUGUGCUUGUUUGCAUGGGAUUUUACCAUGUGAUUCCAACUGAUUCUGAAACUAUUAGGCAUUUAAAACAGGUUCAUAAAAGAAAUUCCACCAUUCAAAAUGUUCAAAGAGAUGUUGAUAUAAUGUAUGAAAAGUAUGCACCAUUUCAGUUCUUGGCAUACUGGUCAGAAAUGUGGCAGUUCUACGAGGAAUGGUUCGGAAAGCUGAGUGAAAUGCCUCACUCUGAUUAUAAACUUAUUACAGCUGCUAAUAUGAGAACUACGAAUGGCAAAAGUAAGAGGGCCAAGAAAUCCUGAUGAGGAUUUUUCUGCCAUGAAUUGUUUAGAAAGCCAAUUGCAACGCCUUGAAUGAGGUUUGAAGGAGUGGGAAAAAAAAGUUAGGACAGAGAUUUUGGAAACAUAUUGGAUACGUCAAAAGACAAAAGUUGUUGCUCUCUUCUCCACAAAUUUAGAUCUGGGUUGCCACCAACACCACCUCCGGCGAUGGACGAGGAGCACCAACAUGACCUAUUCAGAUUUGGGUUGCCACUAAUACUACCUCUGGUGACGGACAAUGAGAACUAGCAUGACCUUUCCUCUUCACCUUCCCUUCUCCUUCCGGUCUAGUCCGGAUGCCACAAACACCACCUUCGGCAACCCCUCAACCACCAUCAACAACCCUCUUCUCAUCCCCACCCCUUAUUCUUCUUCUUUUUUCUUCUUUGUUGUUGCCGCUACAAACCCUUCUUCUUUGCCACUGCAAACCCUAGAUCCAGGGUUUGUGGCAAAGAAGAAAGAAGAAAGAGGAGAAGAAGAAAGAGAAGAGAGGUUGGGAUUGGGCGACGAUGGCAGUUGGCAAUGGUGCGAGGGAAGCGGGAAGGGGACUGUGAUGCGAUGGGUUGAAGGUGGGAGAAGGUGAUUGUCAAAGCAGGUUGGGUUGGUCACCACUCUUCCCUCAAUCUGUUCUAUAUCAAAAUGAUGUCAUUUUUAUGCACAAUAGAGUGGGCACUACAGAGGAUCCAAGUUCAAGAAAAAAAAGGCAGAAAAGUGAUAAAAAUAAAUGUUAGUUGUGGCAUUAAAAAUUUAUUUAAUAUUUUUUUUUUGUCCUUUGUACAUAGAUAUGAUAGAUGUAAAUAUACAUUUAGUUGUACCAUUGGAACACAAUCACUCUCUAAACCAACAAACACUACGCACACAAUUGAUUUUCACUUUUA